rnacentral:rRNA from 1 species
GACGAACGCUGGCGGCGUGCUUAACACAUGCAAGUCGAACGCGCCUGUCCUCUGGGUUUCUGGGGGGUGGGUGAGUGGCGAACGGGUGAGUAACACGUGAGUAACCUGCCCCCUUCUUCGGGAUAACGGUCUGAAAGGGCUGCUAAUACCGGGUAUUCACUGGUCUCCGCAUGGGGUCUGGUGGAAAGGUUUUUUUCUGGUGGGGGAUGGGCUCGCGGCCUAUCAGCUUGUUGGUGGGGUGAUGGCCCACCAAGGCUUUGACGGGUAGCCGGCCUGAGAGGGUGCCCGGUCACAUUGGGACUGAGAUACGGCCCAGACUCCUACGGGAGGCAGCAGUGGGGAAUAAUGCACAAUGGGCGCAAGCCUGAUGCAGCGACGCCGCGUGAGGGAUGGAGGCCUUCGGGUUGUGAACCUCUUUCGCCCGUGGUCAAGCCGCGACGUGGGUCGUGGUGAGGGUAGUGGGUAAAGAAGCGCCGGCUAACUACGUG